CGCUGACGGUAUCUGACCAGCAAGUCACGGCUAACUACGUGCCAGCAGCCGCGGUAAUACGUAGGUGGCAAGCGUUGUCCGGAUUUAUUGGGCGUAAAGGGAACGCAGGCGGUCUUUUAAGUCUGAUGUGAAAGCCUUCGGCUUAACCGGAGAAGUGCAUUGGAAACUGGAAGACUUGAGUGCAGAAGAGGAGAGUGGAACUCCAUGUGUAGCGGUGAAAUGCGUAGAUAUAUGGAAGAACACCAGUGGCGAAAGCGGCUCUCUGGUCUGUAACUGACGCUGAGGUUCGAAAGCGUGGGGAGCGAACAGGAUUAGAUACCCUGGUAGUCCACGCUGUAAACGAUGAAUGCUAGGUGUUGGAGGGUUUCCGCCCUUCGGUGCCGCAGCUAACGCACUAAGCAUUCCGCCUGGGGAGUACGAUCGCAAGAUUGAAACUCAAAGGAAUUGACGGGGGCCCGCACAAGCGGUGGAGCAUGUGGUUUAAUUCGAAGCAACGCGAAGAACCUUACCAGGUCUUGACAUCUUUUGACCAUCUGAGAGAUCAGAA
rnacentral:ncRNA from 1 species